UACAAUUCUAUCAAAAGAACCCCAAUGUAAUAGGACUGACUAGAAAAAGGGAAGGUGAACAGGAGGGGGAGUCCCCCUGUUAUAUUUAGCUUUUAGGUCUCUGGGGAACACAAAACCCAGAUGCUCCUGAAUGUGAGCUUAGCAACUGCUGCUGAGACUGCUGAGUAGGGGGCACCAUGGGAGCCACCAGCAGUGAGCUGGCUGCUGCUGCUCCCUUUUCACUAAGUGAAGCUGUCUGCAGACUCCCUACAGUGACUCGCACUCUUCCUCCUCUCCCUCCCUAGAGGAAUUCUUCCCUUAGAGGGGCAUGACUACGUUUUCUAGGUACCCCUCACCCCAGUGCCUAUUUGGCCCCACAGUGGCACCAGAAGGGACAGCCUCCACCUCACUGGCACAUGCAGAUCCAGCACUUUGUGCUGAGCUAAGAAUAGAAUUUGCAGUCACCACAGUGACAAGAUUUCAGCUCGGAAGGCUGGGCUUAUCCCUCCCUAUAGGCUCUGGACGGUAACAUGCAGGGGGUAAAAAUCUCUGCAUGACCAGUGCUGCAGAGUUCAGUUCUCAACACCACUGGCACCCUCUGGGACGAUGGAUAACAAUCAAGUGAAGGGAAACAAGGAGGCUGGGGACAGGGGCAAGGGAGGGAACCCAGUGAAAAUAGACAGGAGGAUAAGUGGCAAAUAUAAGCCUGUAUUUUUCUCUGCUGAAGGGACAAAGGAAAGUAUGGGGGCUUCUUUCUGCUUCUAAACAUAAAGGACUUGAAACCCAAGCAAGAUUAAAGACGUACUUCAUAGAGUCGUGCUACGGAGUAACUGAGAAACCAUAUCCAGUAAAAGACCUAAUUAGGGCAGCAGCACUUCCAUCUGGAAUUAUGAAUUUCUCUCUGGGCAAACUAGGGACACGCUAUAUCCUUCCUUGUCCCUACCUUCUAUCCGAGGACAGGAGGUGGUACAGGUACUUCUACCAUCUAUCUGUUGUGUUCUCUGCUCUACAAACUACUGUAAAAGGAAAACACAUCCCAACUUUCUCCUACCUUUCUUCACCCCUAGUGCUGGCCGGAAACAGCUUCUCCAACUUCUAAAAACAGCUUAAGGCUGAUCCUUUACCUCUUUUGCAUGGAUAUAUCCUGGUGGUCAGCAGCAGUAGCCACCUCACCACUCCGAGCAACAGCCAGCACACAGUGUUAACACAAGAACAAGGUAAGGCCCAUCCCCAGAAUCCACAAAAAGUUCUUCAAGUCGUAUUUGUGACCAGAAGCCGUGGUGAUGGAGGUAUUGGCAGGAAAAGCAUAUUUAUAUACAUCCCACUUUGUCUUUAUUACGCUUGAGUGAAGCAGCUUGUCUAUUAUCCCAUCCAUAGCCCCAAACAUCUGAAGACAGUACAAUUACAUGAAUAAAUGGAUUUGAAAAUGAAAAUACACUUCAGUAAAAAGUAAACAAA